UACUUAACAACAGUGUGAAAUAUAUACAGUGAGUUUUGGGUGGCUCACGUUUUUUAAAGGACUUCCAACAGAUCAUUUUUGGGGUGCAAUCUCUUUAUAUUCUUAAUUGUUUUGUAAAUUUUGCAGUUACUGAAACUUUGAAGAUGCUGUUGAAAAUUUCCUUAUGUAGAAUUAAAAUAUUUGUAUUGAUAAAUGAUCAAAUAUUUUGUAUAGAUAUAACUUUAUAUUCUAUGUAUACAAAGCAUAAUUAUGGAAAGAUAUGAAGGGAUAUUUCCAUGCUGCGGAGUGUCAGAGUAUUAAUUUUAAAGUCACAUCUUCAUGCGUUUUAAGGGAUUAGCACUUCCUGUGCUGCCCCAUAAAGCACUAGGGGGGGAGUCUGCCUGCCCCUGCAUCCCGCAAUGAAAUCCCCGAUGUAAUUGUAGCGUACUGAGGCAGAACAAGAGUAAUCAGUUCAGUCCUGAGACAGAGAGCAUACAUGGAGACAGCACUAGAUAAAACUCCCCUACCACAUCCCUGAUUGAAGUACAACAAGAUCCAGCAAGUAGGUAAAUGAGAGAGAGAGAGAGAGAGAGAGAGAGAGGAAAAGCCUUGUGAGGGAGUGGGAGGAAGAAUGAGCCAGAAAAGGAGGCAGCGCAGUGCGAGUGAGGAAGCGAAAGCUUGAGAUAGGGGACAGGGAGGGAGGGCGUCAAAGGCAGGAAGCGUGCAAAAGCCAGUGGAACAGAAAUGCAGGGAGUUUGUGGGAAAACAAAGGCCCUCCACCAACAAGAGUAAAGUCAGAGCGAGAGAGAAAGAGGGUAAGAGUCCUGCAGAAGAAAAAACAUACCAGGAUAACAUCAGGAACAAGCACGGGGAGGAAACGAGGAACGACAGGGUGGGGGUCAGAGGAAAGAAACAUUUAAAAGGAAGUUUGAGGGUAGAGCAGAUGCAAAAAAAUAUCUCCUGGUGAUGAAAAGGACUGGACACUCAUGAGUCUCCUCAUGAGGCCACAGUAUGUUCCCAGAGACUAAAGGACCAGCCACACCAACCCAGUUUCAACUACGAAAUGGAUUACAUGCUCAGAGGGAUAUGGGUCAACAUCUGCCAAGACCUAAAGCUGACCUGCUUGCCUAUUUUGGGAGUGGGGACCACGUAUGUAACACCUGUGGACCAAAGCAAGCAAAUAUCUCCUGCAGUGGAUGCAAGCACACUUCUAAGCAACAUCUGGCCAACCAGGGUGUUCAUGAAGGACUAGACGUGGUUGGCCAGAGCGGUAAUGCAGAGUUAACCAGAGUGCAGCAACAUAACAGUGUCUCUGUGAACUCCAUCUUGAGAGAAUGCAGCCUUGUGGUCCACAAACACCAGACCGAGCCACACCUCUCCUUGAGGGAUUGUGAUCUGAACUCGUCAACACAGUUCAGGGGUCAUGGAAACUGUGGAGUGCCUGUUUGUGUGGCGGGGCAACGAUCAGGCUCUGUGAGAGGGGCCCUUCUUAAGAAGCGGCAUGCUUCAGUCUGGAUGGAACCCUGUGAAGACUGCAUUGGUGCUGAUAGUUCAAACUUUAAUUAUGGACAUUGCACUCCUAAUGGACAGGGAACUUUAAGUAGAUCCUUGGGACAUAGAUCGCAAGACUUGAACGGAUCCAGUCUGACACAUGAAGUUAUGCUUUCUACCAAAGAUGUCAACAAACUCGAUACUAACCACCAAACGAAAGUUGCCCAAGGGGAUCUCAGUGGACCAGAAAGUGGGACUUUGAGUUCUAACAAGACCCAAAGAGCAAUUCAGGACCAGCUUCAAAGAGUCGUGGUGAAUCUCGAGGAGGUUCUACAUGACUUGAAAGAGAUACAUCUGGAAAUGAGGGAGGGCAAUUCGACCACCACAAGGGGAUAGUGUAAUUUUAAUGCAAAGAGGAUUGGCCUGAUCUGCUCCAUUUAGCAAAUGUAUUCCAUGUUGAAGAGGAAUGUUGUCUUAGCUGAGACAGGGAGCAGCUGGAUGGAAGAGCAGCUGCCCGCUUAUAGCUUUCUGCUGUGGUUUCAUACUCUUGUAAACUAGCUUGUCUGCACUCAUGCCCUGAUGGUGCCUUUUAGACACUUGGGCAUAUGUAGUAUCCUAUGUUUCUAGCAACUAGAAAGGGCAUUUGCACUUAGUAUACAAGCUUUGUUUUCCCGUUGGAAUUUAGGUGGUCAAGCAGAUAGACGUGUUGACCGCCGACAUUGAUAUGGGUGAAGAUGUACCAGGGGACUCUUUAUGGAGAUGCCACUCGAGUAGGGUAGACACGAGCAUACGUGAAUUGGAGUCAUCAAGACAUGAAAUCAACAGGGAGGCGUUCUCUCAUGGGGUCCACUCUGACAAGCCACCCUUCAGUGUAGAGGGCAAAAAGAAACUUUGUUCAUCAACCAAAGCCCAUCUUUCAUGCACAAGCACCCUACCUGUAGCCCCACCAGCAUACCCCAUUAAAGAUCAAGGGCUUUGUGAUGCAAAACAAAGACUGAAAUCACCUCAGGAGGUGGCCGCUUCCCAAAGACAUGAAUCAGGGACUACGACAGGACACAGGGGCAGGAAACCACCUCCUUACCCCUACGCCAGCACAGUCGGAAGAGUGAAUCCUAAAGCAAAAGACAAAGUUCAGAAAACGCCACCUUACCCUUUUAGACGGAGACUGCUCUCGACUAUUGUUUGAGCGGACAGUGGCUUAAGGGCACAGAGUGGAACAUUAAGCACCAUCUUUGAAAGAAGGCCAUAUAUGGUGUGACUAGCACCUUUAUGAAAUGAUCGGAAAGGAUUCUGGCAUACCCCAGAGAUUUUGUUGGAAUUCUCUACAAGUGUGCAAAAACACCAGCAUAAGGCCAGAAACAACAUCCCUCUGUCCACCCACGUCUGUCUGGGACUGAGAGAGAGAGAGAGGGAUGAGUGACACCAGACACUAAUGAAGAAGCUGCGAGGUGUGGGCUGAAUAACAAAGAGAUCCCGUCUGAGAAAGCGCGAAGAAAGACAUGAGCCUAUGGAGUGCUUGUUUCAAACAAGCUUUUGAACUUUUGCUAUUUACACAGGGGACAAGGCCACCAGCUGAAGAUAAAGAUGUUUUUGUGAAGACUUGAUUUGCAACACCUGUACAAAAAGAGCUGACUGCUUUUGAUCUAAGAGUCGACAAGCUUUAGGAGUCUGAAUUAAAGUUACAUGUCAAAGGCAAACGUCGAAGUCUUAUUUGGAGCAAAAUCUUGAACAUGCUCGUCAAAAAUCUGUGCCGAUUCUUUUUAUGUACUAAAUAAAAAAAAUAAAAAAGGUUAUCUUCUUAAUAUUA